ACCAGCCCACGCUCACGGGCUGCCCACGCCGUUCGCUUCCCCGGAGGCUUGUUGUGAAGAACCACGCGGGUCCGGGUCGGGGUGGGGGGACGGACGGUGUUUGUAUCUGGAGAGAGGCAGAGGCAGGGUCCUCCGAGGGGUCAGGGCGGGGGAGGGGGAGCGUAUGUGCGCGCAUCCCAGCCGAGUACCUACCCGCUCUGCCCUCCAGAGCCGUGCACAGGAGGCAGGGUGGGGAGGAGAGCCGUCCAUCAGCGGCGUCUGAUCUGUGGGCGUCUGGCCGGAGACCAGCGUCCUCCCCGCUGGAGGAUUACUCUGUGUCGGGGCCCGUGUACCAACAAUAACGGCCACCGUCGAUUCGGCGUGGACGGCGUGCCAGGCAAAAGGGGGUUCCGUACAUUAUCGGCUAAUUCUCAAAUCACCGGCUCCGUGAGGGAGAUCAAGAAUGCAGCUUCAGCUUGCUUCUUGGCAAGGUUUUAGGUGGGGAAGAAGCAGUACUGACUGGCUUCACCGCUUUCCACAUGUGACCACGGGCAAAUCACUUACACUCUGCAGGCCCGUCUCUUCACGCGUAAACUGCGGGUAACAUCAACAGGGCUGUCUGAAGGACUCAGUGGGACUCCUUCCGUGAAGUGCUGGGUACACAGAAGGACCAGUAGAAUCUGCUCCCUACCGCUGGGGCGCAGGGUGCGUGGCUGGUCUUUCCUGGGCAGGAGACGUCUUUAGGAAGGGCUUCCCCUCCCACUGCCUUCCGAAAUGCCGUUCUCCAAGCUCUGCCUUCUGGAGCCCCCUCCAAGCAUCUCGCCAAGAGGGGCUUCUCUGGGCGUAAACACAAACAGGCAGGAGCGUCU